ensembl:snoRNA
AAGACUAUACUUUCAGGGAUCAUUUCUAUAGUUCUUAACUAGGAAAUGUGUUUCUAAAGUGUUGAGUCUACCAAACCACGAUGAUGCUUCUUGAUACUCUUUUCUGAGCAUGAAUCAGAUACAGAGAGAUGAUUUAAUUCAUAUUCUCUGUAUCUUUGAUGAAUGUUCCUUGUUGUGUCUUACAGCAUAGGAGGAAAAGAGUAUGAACUGAGUGGAU